ensembl:lncRNA
AUCCGCUCUUUCUUCAGACGGGCGACUUGUUGCUCCACAUCGUUUCCACACAGAAAACGUACAAAAGAAAAGAAAAAGAAAGGAAGCGGCUUCCUGCACUGCGAGAGGACGCACCAAACUACGACUCCCAUGGUGCAACGCAGGAAGGCUCAACGCUGCGGUUUGUGGUCGUCUUGACAUAUUAGGAGUGUCUUUCUAGCAGCGGUUGAAGAUUACGCUUUGUGAAAAAACACAAAAAACUGCUGAAAACAUUUAGCAACUUCAUUCAGGUCAACUUGUGGCAACGUCGGGAAGAUUCAGCAACGAUGGCGACAUGAGGACAACGUGCAGAAGGGCUGUGACUGACAGCGGCCUCCUGGGCGAAAGUCACCCUUACCUUGCUGCGGCUGAUGACGUCCAGCGGUUUGCUCAGAUGAAUCUCGCCUGCAGAACAGAAGGAAACGCGGUGGAACAUUAAAGGAGCGUUACGAAGAUUCAUGGAUGGAAAACACGUGACGUUUCAUCUGCAGGGCUCGAGCCUGCAAAUCAGCUGCAGCACAUCGUUAAUGUGUCGGGGGCUCUGUGUUCAUAUGGGGGGGCAGACUGUCCUCCUCUCUGGAGAGCCGGACCGUCUGGAGAGAAGGGGGCAGGAGAACCAGAACCAGGACUGAGAGGGGCAGCCUGAGACUCUGCUGCGGUAGAACGAGGACUUCUUUAGGGCGCCGAUGCUCAGAGAACUACCGCUUUACUCCACAGGGGGCGCCGGAACCACCAGCAAAUAAAAGCGCUUAUUAAUAACAUUAACAUUUCGUAGUAUUGAUCACCUGCGUGGCUGUAAAUCCAGAAAUAUUGCAUCUCAGAGAGUUUCGCUUGUACAAUAUUCACAAAUAAAUAUACUGUAUAAAUUUCAAUAUAUAUAUACAAAUUAAUCUAGAAAUUGCUUUAGUUUGAAUGUAAAAAAAACAAUUUUGCUGUUAAAUAAUUUAAUGUUAUUUGUGUGUGUAUAUUUAUCCUAGUUUGAAAGUACAAACCCAUUUCGUUGUGAAAUUGUUUGUACUUCAAAUUAAAUAUUCUUUUGUUAUUGAUUUUCAACAUGUAGAAACAUCUUAAAAAAAUCAGGUUUCUACCAAAUAAACAAAAG